rnacentral:rRNA from 1 species
UACAGAGGUCUCAAGCGUUUGUUCGGAUUCAUUGGGCGUAAAGGGUGCGUAGGGCGGCUUGUCGCGUCGGCUAGUCGGAAAACCUGGGGGCUCAACCCCGGGCCUGCAGCCGAUACGGGCAAGCUAGAAUUCGGGUAGGGGAGACUGGAAUUCCUGGAUGUAGCGGUGAAAUGCGUGAGAUAUCGUAAGGAAGACCAGCUGGCGAAGGCGGAUCUCUGGACAGUUACUG